AUUGAACGCUGGCGGCAUGCUUUACACAUGCAAGUCGAACGGCAGCGCGGGCUUCGGCCUGGCGGCGAGUGGCGAACGGGUGAGUAAUGCAUCGGAACGUGCCCAGUAGUGGGGGAUAGCCCGGCGAAAGCCGGAUUAAUACCGCAUACGACCUGAGGGUGAAAGCGGGGGACCGAAAGGCCUCGCGCUAUUGGAGCGGCCGAUGUCGGAUUAGCUAGUUGGUGGGGUAAAGGCUUACCAAGGCGACGAUCCGUAGCUGGUCUGAGAGGACGACCAGCCACACUGGGACUGAGACACGGCCCAGUCCCCUACGGGAGGCAGCAGUGGGGAAUUUUGGACAAUGGGGGCAACCCUGAUCCAGCCAUGCCGCGUGCGGGAAGAAGGCCUUCGGGUUGUAAACCGCUUUUGUGCGGGAAGAAAUCCUCUGGGCUAAUACCCCGGGGGGAUGACGGUACCGGAAGAAUAAGCACCGGCUAACUACGU
rnacentral:rRNA from 1 species